AACGCACAUUGCGCCCUGCGGCAUUCCGCAGGGCAUGCCUGUUUGAGCGUCAUUUCACUCUCAAGCCGCUGGCUUGGUGAUGAGUUUGCUCGGCUUACUUGAAAGACAUGGCUGCAUUUGUAUAGGGACAACCAUUUCAGACGCAGACACCAAGUUUGACCUCAAAUCAGGUAGGACUACCCGCUGAACUUAA
rnacentral:misc_RNA from 1 species